rnacentral:lncRNA from 1 species
AAAAUACAUGUCUUAUAACUUAUUAAUAAAUGUUUGCUUUUUUUUUUUUUCUUUGAUGUAACACUAUUGCACAAUGUUACUUGAGAGUGAUGCUAAUACCAAUUUUAUUUUUUUUGGAAGGUGAUACAGGCUCUGAAUCAUAAAAUCGAUGAAUAUGAAGUUAACUUUCUAGCCUUGAAAGAAACCCAUCAAGAAGAAAUUGAUCUAAUUUCCGCCGAAACACUGGAGAAAUGCCUCCAGUAUGAUAAGAAAAUCGAAGAGGAAGAGAGCUUGCGAUUGCGAAUACUGAGCCUUGAAGAAUCCCUGGAAAAAAAUAAUUUGAUAAAGGAGCAAAGCUUAGCGGAUUUUGCCACUUAUAAAAAACAAACAGAGGAAAGCGAGCUGAAAACCAAAGCCGAACAUGACGAGAAGGUCGCAGCCUUAUCCAAUGAGAUCCAGUCGAUGAAAAAUGACUAUGAAAAUCACCUUAAGAAGCUAACAGAGGAAGCAGAUUCCUUGAGAAACGAGUGUAAAUCAUGCAAAAAAGACAGGCCGUCUGAUAAUGUAACUGAGAAGCUAAAUAAAGAGAUUGAUGCUUUAAGUAAAGAAGUAGAGAACCUGAAAUCUCAGCAAAAAAUGGUAACGGAGGAGUAUAGGCGGAAAGUGGGGAACCUGCACAGUAGCUACAGCAAAGAGAGAGAGAGCCUGAGGAAAGCCUUGCAACAAUCAGUGACUGACAUGAUACAGCAGCUACAACAGAAGGAACAAGAGCAGAAGAGAUGUGUUCAGGCAAAGGAAGAUGCCAUGCUACAGGAAGUAAAGCAGCUAAAAGGGGAGAUUGAUACAAAGACUCAAGAGAUUCUAGAAAUUACAAAGCACUCUCAGAAGAUGAAAGAGAAGAUACAGGUUUGCAA